ACAGGGGGAUAACAGUUGGAAACGGCUGCUAAUACCGCAUAAGCGCACGAGGAGACAUCUCCUUGUGUGAAAAACUCCGGUGGUACAGGAUGGGCCCGCGUCUGAUUAGCUGGUUGGCAGGGUAACGGCCUACCAAGGCAACGAUCAGUAGCCGGUCUGAGAGGAUGAACGGCCACAUUGGAACUGAGACACGGUCCAAACUCCUACGGGAGGCAGCAGUGAGGAAUAUUGGUCAAUGGGCGAGAGCCUGAACCAGCCAAGUAGCGUGAAGGAUGACUGCCCUAUGGGUUGUAAACUUCUUUUAUACGGGAAUAAAGUGAGGCACGUGUGCCUUUUUGUAUGUACCGUAUGAAUAAGGAUCGGCUAACUCCGUGCCAGCAGCCGCGGUAAUACGGAGGAUCCGAGCGUUAUCCGGAUUUAUUGGGUUUAAAGGGAGCGUAGAUGGAUGUUUAAGUCAGUUGUGAAAGUUUGCGGCUCAACCGUAAAAUUGCAGUUGAUACUGGGUGUCUUGAGUACAGUAGAGGCAGGCGGAAUUCGUGGUGUAGCGGUGAAAUGCUUAGAUAUCACGAAGAACUCCGAUUGCGAAGGCAGCCUGCUAAGCUGCAACUGACAUUGAGGCUCGAAAGUGUGGGUAUCAAACAGGAUUAGAUACCCUGGUAGUCCACACGGUAAACGAUGAAUACUCGCUGUUUGCGAUAUACAGCAAGCGGCCAAGCGAAAGCGUUAAGUAUUCCACCUGGGGAGUACGCCGGCAACGGUGAAACUCAAAGGAAUUGACGGGGGCCCGCACAAGCGGAGGAACAUGUGGUUUAAUUCGAUGAUACGCGAGGAACCUUACCCGGGCUUAAAUUGCAGAUGAAUUACGGUGAAAGCCGUAAGCCGCAAGGCAUCUGUGAAGGUGCUGCAUGGUUGUCGUCAGCUCGUGCCGUGAGGUGUCGGCUUAAGUGCCAUAACGAGCGCAACCCUUGUUGUCAGUUACUAACAGGUCAUGCUGAGGACUCUGACAAGACUGCCAUCGUAAGAUGUGAGGAAGGUGGGGAUGACGUCAAAUCAGCACGGCCCUUACGUCCGGGGCUACACACGUGUUACAAUGGGCGGUACAGAAGGCAGCUACCUGGCGACAGGAUGCCAAUCCCGAAAGCCGCUCUCAGUUCGGACUGGAGUCUGCAACCCGACUCCACGAAGCUGGAUUCGCU
rnacentral:rRNA from 1 species